rnacentral:rRNA from 1 species
GAUGAACGCUGGCGGCGUGCCUAAUACAUGCAAGUCGAGCGAACGGACGAGAAGCUUGCUUCUCUGAUGUUAGCGGCGGACGGGUGAGUAACACGUGGAUAACCUACCUAUAAGACUGGGAUAACUUCGGGAAACCGGAGCUAAUACCGGAUGAUAUUUUGAACCGCAUGGUUCAAAAGUGAAAGACGGUCUUGCUGUCACUUAUAGAUGGAUCCGCGCUGCAUUAGCUAGUUGGUAAGGUAACGGCUUACCAAGGCAACCAUGCAUAGCCGACCUGAGAGGGUGAUCGGCCACACUGGAACUGAGACACGGUCCAGACUCCUACGGGAGGCAGCAGUAGGGAAUCUUCCGCAAUGGGCGAAAGCCUGACGGAGCAACGCCGCGUGAGUGAUGAAGGUCUUCGGAUCGUAAAACUCUGUUAUUAGGGAAGAACAUAUGUGUAAGUAACUGUGCACAUCUUGACGGUACCUAAUCAGAAAGCCACGGCUAACUACGUG